rnacentral:rRNA from 1 species
GACGAACGCUGGCGGCAUGCUUAACACAUGCAAGUCGAACGGAAAGGCGCUGCUUUUGUGGGAUGCUCGGGUGGCGAACGGGUAAGUAACACGUGAGUAACCUGCCGUUGACUUUAGGAUAACGUCAGGAAACUGGAGAUAAUACCGGAUAGGAGCUCCUGCGGGGUGGUGGGGGUUGGAAAGUUUCAGCGGAUGGGGAUGGGCUCGCGGAUUAUCAGCUUGGUGGUGGGGUAGUGGAAUACCAAGGCUUGGACGGGUAGCCCGCCUGAGAGGGUGACCGGCGACAUUGGGACUGCGAGACGGCGCAGACGCCUACUGUAGGCAGCAGGGGGGAAUAUGGCCCAAUGGGCGGAAGUCUGAUGCAGCAACGCCGGGUGUGGGAUCAGGGCCUUUGGGGGGAAAACCGUUUUCGCCUGUGACGAAGCGUGAGUGACGGUAAUUGGUAAAUAAGCACCGGCUAACUACGUG